rnacentral:rRNA from 1 species
GACGAACGCUGGCGGCGUGCUUGACACAUGCAAGUCGAACGGAAAGGCCUGCUUUCCCUUGUGGAUUGCGGGUACUCGAGUGGCGAACGGGUGAGUAACACGUGAGUGAUCUGCCCCCAACUUGGGUAUAAGCCUGGGAAACUGGGUCUAAUUCCCGAUAGGACUGCAGGGUGGUGCCUGUGGUGGAAAACGAUUUUCUAGUGGUUGGGGAUGAGCUCGCGGCCUAUCAGCUUGUUGGUGGGGUAAUGGCCUACCAAGGCGGCGACGGGUAGCCGGCCUGAGAGGGUGGACGGCCACAUUGGGACUGAGAUACGACCCAGACUCCUACGGGAGGCAGCAGUGGGGAAUAUUGCACAAUGGGCGGAAGCCUGAUGCAGCGACGCCGCGUGGGGGAUGACGGCCUUCGGGUUGUAAACUCCUUUCGACCGCGAGGAAGCCACCUGGUUGGAAGGGUGGUGACGGUAGUGGUAGAAGAAGCACCGGCUAACUACGUG